CGGACGGGUGAGUAAUGUCUGGGAAACUGCCUGAUGAGGGGGGUACACUGGAAACGGUAGCUAAUACCGCAUAACGUCGCAAGACCAAAGAGGGGGACCUUCGGGCCUCUUGCCAUCGGAUGUGCCCAGAUGGGAUUAGCUAGUAGGUGGGGUAACGGCUCACCUAGGCGACGAUCCCUAGCUGGUCUGAGAGGAUGACCAGCCACACUGGAACUGAGACACGGUCCAG
rnacentral:rRNA from 1 species